rnacentral:rRNA from 1 species
UGGGGAAUAUUGGACAAUGGGCGCAAGCCUGAUCCAGCCAUGCCGCGUGAGUGAUGAAGGCCCUAGGGUUGUAAAGCUCUUUCACCGGUGAAGAUAAUGACGGUAACCGGAGAAGAAGUCCCGGCUAACUUCGUGCCAGCAGCCGCGGUAAUACGAAGGGGGCUAGCGUUGUUCGGAUUUACUGGGCGUAAAGCGCACGUAGGCGGACUUUUAAGUCAGGGGUGAAAUCCCGGGGCUCAACCCCGGAACUGCCUUUGAUACUGGAAGUCUUGAGUAUGGUAGAGGUGAGUGGAAUUCCGAGUGUAGAGGUGAAAUUCGUAGAUAUUCGGAGGAACACCAGUGGCGAAGGCGGCUCACUGGACCAUUACUGACGCUGAGGUGCGAAAGCGUGGGGAGCAAACAGG